rnacentral:rRNA from 1 species
CACGUUGAUAAUCUAACCUAUGACCUGGAAAAGCCUCGGGAAACUGAGGGUUAUGCCGGAUAGGAAAUUGAGGCUGGAAUGCGCUUUUUCUGAACAUAGGAUGAGUCAGCGGCCGAUUAGCUUGUUGGUGAGGUAAUGGCUCACCAAGGCGACGAUCGGUAGGAGCCUUGAGAGAGGUAGCUCCGAGAAGGGCACUGAGAAAAGGGCCCUAGCCCUACGGGGUGCAGCAGCCAGGAAACCUUUACAAUGCGCGCAAGCGCGAUAAGGGGAUUCGAAGUGCUUACGUUUUACGUAGGCUUUUGCCAAGAGUAAAAACCUUGGCGAAUAAGUGGUGGGAAGGACUGGUGCCAGCCGCCGCGGUAAUACCAGCGCCACGAGUGGCAAUCGUGUUUAUUGGGCCUAAAGCGUUCGUAGCAGGUUCGAGUAGUUCUUUGUGAAAUCGUGCAACUCAAUUGUACGGCGUGCAAAGAAUACUACCGAACUAGAGACUGGGAGGCGUAUGGAGUAUUUCAGGGCCAGCGGUAAAAUGUGUUGAUCCCUGAAGGACUGCCAAUGGCGAAGGCACCAUACGAGAACAGGUCUGACUGUGAGGGACGAAAGCUGGGGGAGCAAAACGGAUUAGAUACCCGAGUAGUCCCAGCUGUAAACUCUGUGCGUUAGGCGUUGGAGAAACUACAUGUUUUUCCAGUGUCGUAGAGAAGUCGUUAAACGCACCGCCUGGGAAGUACGGUCGCAAGGCUGAAACUUAAAGGAAUUGGCGGGGGAGCACUACAAGAGGUGCUUCGUUCGGUUUAAUUAUAUUUUACACUGAGAAUCUCACUAGAACCAACGGCAGAAUGAAGAUCGGGCUGAAGACUUUAUCUGACGAGCCGAGUGGUGUUGCAUGGCCGCCGUCAGCUCGUGCCGCAAGGUGUCCUCUUAAGUGAGGUAACGAGCGAGACCUGCGUCCACAAUUGCUAACGACAUCCCCGGAUGGAUCGAGCACUUUGUGGGGACUGCCUUAGAAAUAAGGAGGAAGGUGCAGGCAACGGUAGGUCUGUAUGGCCCUAAUGUUCUAGGCUACACGCGCGAUGCAAUGAUAAGGACAAUGGGAUACAACUCCGAAAGGAGAAGUUAAACCUCGAAACUUUAUCUUAAUUUAGAUUGGGGCUUGUAACUCAGCCCCAUGACACCGGAAUCUCUAGUAAUCGGGUGUUAACAGCGCCCGGUGAAUAAGUCCCUGCUUCUUGCACACACCGCCCAUCAAACCAGCCGAGCAGUUCUUGGAUGAGGAUGAUUUUUUUGAGUUGUUCGAAUCUGAGGACAGUGAGGUGGGUUAAGUUGUCACAAGGAA